UGGGGAAUAUUGGACAAUGGGCGAAAGCCUGAUCCAGCCAUGCCGCGUGUGUGAAGAAGGUCUUCGGAUUGUAAAGCACUUUAAGUUGGGAGGAAGGGUUGUAGAUUAAUACUCUGCAAUUUUGACGUUACCGACAGAAUAAGCACCGGCUAACUCUGUGCCAGCAGCCGCGGUAAUACAGAGGGUGCAAGCGUUAAUCGGAAUUACUGGGCGUAAAGCGCGCGUAGGUGGUUAGUUAAGUUGGAUGUGAAAUCCCCGGGCUCAACCUGGGAACUGCAUUCAAACUGACUGACUAGAGUAUGGUAGAGGGUGGUGGAAUUUCCUGUGUAGCGGUGAAAUGCGUAGAUAUAGGAAGGAACACCAGUGGCGAAGGCGAACCACCUGGACUGAUACUGACACUGAGGUGCGAAAGCGUAGGGAGCAAACAGGAUUAGAUACCCUGGUAGUCCACGCCGUAAACGAUGUCAACUAGCCGUUGGGGAGCCUUGAGCUCUUAGUGGCGCAGCUAACGCAUCAAGUUGACCGCCUGGGGAGUACGGCCGCAAGGUUAAAACUUAAA
rnacentral:rRNA from 1 species